ACCACCACCAUCAUCAUCAUCAUGAUCAUCAUCAUCAUCAAUUUAUCCUCAAUCAGAAGGUCAUGGAAGCAGAUUCAGAAAAUGGGUCAUCUUUAAGUAAAAGCCAUCUGAUAUUUUACUGCAAGCAUGUGGCAGUGAAGACGACAAUGACUGCUAGUAUGGUUUGUGCCACUGCCUUGAUUUCCGCUCAGGCACCAGCAGUCUUACCCACCAUUGCUUUGGUGCAGUUGGUGGAGAUAUCAAUGGAUCAAAAGCGCAAGUAAUAUGACUCGGCUCCCUAUGCCCAGUAAAUAUAAAUUUUCAGAACUGUGAUCACAGCCCUGGCUAAAUAGUGCCCCUGGUCAAACCUUCGUAGGCAAAAUGUUUUCUCCAGCUUUCUGCUAGUUCUUAGAAGCCAGUGUGAAGGAAAAGGGAUGUCAUGAAGCAUCACUCUCCAAGCUGAUCAUCUAUUCCAUUGCCUUGAGAAUUAUGUAGAAUAA